rnacentral:rRNA from 1 species
GAUGAACGCUGGCGGCGUGCCUAAUACAUGCAAGUCGAGCGAACAGUUGAGGAGCUUGCUCCUCUGACGUUAGCGGCGGACGGGUGAGUAACACGUGGAUAACCUACCUAUAAGACUGGGAUAACUUCGGGAAACCGGAGCUAAUACCGGAUAAUAUAUUGAACCGCAUGGUUCAAUAGUGAAAGACGGUUUUGCUGUCACUUAUAGAUGUAUCCGCGCCGCAUUAGCUAGUUGGUAAGGUAACGGCUUACCAAGGCAACGAUGCGUAGCCGACCUGAGAGGGUGAUCGGCAACACUGGAACUGAGACACGGUCCAGACUCCUACGGGAGGCAGCAGUAGGGAAUCUUCCGCAAUGGGCGAAAGCCUGACGGAGCAACGCCGCGUGAGUGAUGAAGGUCUUCGGAUCGUAAAACUCUGUUAUUAGGGAAGAACAAAUGUGUAAGUAAAUAUGCACGUCUUGACGGUACCUAAUCAGAAAGCCACGGCUAACUACGUG